GAUGAACGCUGGCGGCGUGCCUAAUACAUGCAAGUCGAGCGAACAGACGAGGAGCUUGCUCCUCUGACGUUAGCGGCGGACGGGUGAGUAACACGUGGAUAACCUACCUAUAAGACUGGGAUAACUUCGGGAAACCGGAGCUAAUCCCGGAUAAUAUAUUGAACCGCAUUGGUCAAUAGUGAAAGACGGUUUUGCUGUCACUUAUAGAUGGAUCCGCGCCGCAUUAGCUAGUUGGUAAGGUAACGGCUUACCAAGGCAAGGAUGCGUAGCCGACCUGAGAGGGUGAUCGGCCACACUGGAACUGAGACACGGUCAAGACUCCUGCGAGAGGCCGCAGUAGGGAAUCUUCCGCAAUGGGCGAAAGCCUGACGGAACAACGCCGCGUGAGUGAUGAAGGUCUUCGGAUCGGAAAACUCUGUUAUUAGGGAAGAACAAAUGUGUAAGUAACUAUGCACGUAUUGACGGUAACUAAUCAGAAAGCCACGGCUAACUACGUG
rnacentral:rRNA from 1 species